UGAAGUGGUUGAUACUUUCUGAUUCCGGUUCUGAAGGCUGGGGGUUCGAGUCCCUUCGGGCGUACCA
rnacentral:tRNA from 1 species